rnacentral:rRNA from 1 species
AACGAACGCUGGCGGCAUGCCUAACACAUGCAAGUCGAACGAGACCUUCGGGUCUAGUGGCGCACGGGUGCGUAACGCGUGGGAACCUGCCCUUAGGUUCGGAAUAACUCCCCGAAAGGGGUGCUAAUACCGGAUAAUGUCUUCGGACCAAAGAUUUAUCGCCUUUGGAUGGGCCCGCGUUGGAUUAGCUAGUUGGUAGGGUAAAAGCCUACCAAGGCGACGAUCCAUAGCUGGUCUGAGAGGAUGAUCAGCCACACUGGGACUGAGACACGGCCCAGACUCCUAAGGGAGGCAGGAGUGGGGAAUAUUGGACAAUGGGCGAAAGCCUGAUCCAGCAAUGCCGCGUGAGUGAUGAAGGCCUUAGGGUUGUAAAGCUCUUUUACCCGGGAUGAUAAUGACAGUACCGGGAGAAUAAGCUCCGGCUAACUCCGUG